GAGAAAUUUGAUAUGCUUUUUGGUUGGCUAGAGACAUGAAGGAUUGCAAAGAGUUAACCUUAGCUGACUUCCUCAUUACCCAGACUAGUCUGGGCUUGAGGGAUAAAGAAAAGGUUUUUUUGAAAGCCAUGUUUGUUAUUGCUGUAGAAGAGACCUGUUUCAUGAAUCAGUGAAAGUAUGAAAACAUGCAGAAGAUGUUUUAGGGUGAUGAUUUCUAAGUUUCUUUGUGCUAGCAUUUACCUCACUGUGAAGUGUAAACUAAAGAGAGGUCUUAUGGAAUUAUCUUUGGAGAACCCUGAUUGGUCCAGAAUCCAUUACUCUGCUUGCAUUCACAUCUUUUGUUUGUACUGACUGCAUUUCUUCCAAGAAAUAAACUGUGUUGAUGCUGAAUAAUAAUUGUGGGUUCAAUUUUUCAUCAUGCAUCCAAACUCAAAUUAAAGGAACAUUAAAUUUACAAGGAAAAAAAUAGCUGUGCAUCCCCAGUUCAGCUGUUGUCUGUUUAUGUUAGUCUCCUGAUUGCAAUGCAUCCUAUUUUUACUUUAGAAUUCCAGGCUUACACAGUUCAAAGGAUGUUCUCCUCCAGAACCAGUGUCAGUGUUAUAAAGUGCAAAAUGUUGCACUCAGAGUGGCUGCAGAAGUUGAAUGAGGCAGAAUAUUGAAGAAAGAGAAAGAAAUAUCAAGUGUCUAAAAAUGUAUGUAAAACAUGUGGAAAGCAUGUGCUAUGUGGAAAGAUUGCUGAAGAUCUGGAAUGUAAAGCCCUUAAGCCAAUUCCUUUGCAUUGUAUCUCCAUUUAAUGUAACUGAAGUGAAUAAUGUUUCACCAGUGAUGAAUCUGGCUCAAGCUGUUUAUUUGCAAAACAAUAUGGAGAAGGGAGAAAACAGCUCUUUUCCUGAAGAUAUUUCCAGUAGCUGUAUGUAAAAUAAAUAUCAGUGUUUACCAUAAAG
rnacentral:lncRNA from 1 species